rnacentral:lncRNA from 1 species
AGAUGCCUCAACACUUCCUCUUUUGAAAGUCGGCCAGGCACAGAAUGCCAAGUUCCCAAAAGCCUCAUAAUACCAAUUCUAGGCUCUUGAGGAGACUUUGUGAACAUGCGCAGAUGUCUUUUUCUGGCAAACAGGAAGUUCUUUCUUUUUUCCGCUUUUUCUUUUCUUUUUUCUUUUUUUUUUGCGUUAGAUGCCAACUUCAGCUUUGUGAAACUCCUGACAGCUGGAAACCUCCCCACUUCCACCAUCCAGUUUACGGUUUACUGCGAGUUUAGACUUGAGCAAGCCUGGCUUGGAUCACUGCCCAGAAUUAGAGCAGCGCAGACAGAACCAGACUCCGGCAAAGGGACCUUCAGAGUCCAGAAGAGCGCAUCCGAUCCCCUGGAGCUGAAGUUCCUUGUAGUCGGAAGCUGCCCGACUUAGGUGCCAGGAGCUGAACUUAGCUCUGAUAGAAAAGCAGUACAAAGUCUUAACAGCCUUGAACUCACCAUGACACUGCUUUCCAGGUGCUAAGAUUAUAGGCGUGUGAGUUCAAGGCCAGACAACAUAUAGACAGUGAGUUCUAGGCCAGCUAUCAGUAUUUGAGUGAUACCCCACCUCAAAAACAAACAAAAACAAAACAAAAGAAAGACUGACUUAUAAUUCUCAAGCUUCUAGGAUCCCAAUGUUCUCUUCAAGGACAUGCUUUCAACUGAUGGAAGACUUCUGUGCUGGCUAAUUGUAUGUCAAACUGACAUAGGCUAAAAGGCAUCUAAUUGAGAAAAUACCUCCGUAAGACUGGACUGGAAACAAGUCUGUAGAGCAUUUUCUGUUUUGAUGGAGGGGACCCUUGGGCUGAUGAGUGGGGUGGGGGAGGGGGUGAGGACAAGGACUCUGGCUUGGCUUGGUUUAGCUUAACAGUGAUUGUCUGAGAGCUCAGAGAGCGCAGAGGGGCCUUCUGCAGGAGACUUAGUCGGUGCAGCUCUAUAGACAAAGGCUUCCCCCAUGCUCCCCAUGGUGGUUCUUUUUUUUAAAAUAUUUAUUUAUUUAUUUAUUAUAUGUAAGUACACUGUAGCUGUCUUCAGAUACUCCAGAAGAGGGAGUCAGAUCUUGUUAUGGAUGGUUGUGAGCCACCAUGUGGUUGCUGGGAUUUGAACUCUGGAACUUCGGAAGAGUAGUCCGUACUCUUAACCACUGAGCCAUCUCUCCAGCCCCCCCAUAGUGGUUCUUAAUGAGAGAGGCAGUCCAUGCUUGUCCAUACCAUUUAUUGACUGUUCAUUAUGGGAAAUGGGUGCAUACCACUUCCUCAGGGUGGACCAGAGAUUAAAUACCUUUUGCAAGAAGGAAUGUCCUGGAAGGGAAGCUCAUUGGUUAAAUCCCUAGGGCCUAUCUAGAUACCACAUAGGCAUGGAGAAUGCUGUUCUGUGAUAUGUGACCAUUGGUCACAUCCCUAUCGGGGAGUGUGGUCAUGUGUUCCAGGCCAGGGAUCAGGUAGGGAGCAGGGAGAUACCUAUGGGUCCUCAUAUGGGUGCCAGGGUCUCUGAACCCACUCAACCUUACUAAGUUUCCUGGCAUGGUCCACUGCCCCAUACAGGCUGGCCUUGAACUUAAGAGAUCCACCUGUAGCUGCCUCCUGAAUGCAGAGAUGAAAGACAUGUGCUACUAUGCCCAACUAAUUAGGUUUUCUUUUCAGAAGGGAGACAGUUUGAGACAGGGCUUCCCCUGGGCUGGGUCAAUAAGAAAGCAGGCUGAGCAAGCCGUGAAUACACUACUCCUCUGUGGCCUCUGUCAGCUCCUGCCUUGCUUGAGUUCUUGCCCUGACUUCCAAUGAUGAAUAGUGAUGUGGAGGUGUAAGCCAAAUAAAACCUUUCUUCCCCACGUUGCUUUUGGUCAUGGUGUUUCUUCACAGCAAUAGAAAUCCCUAAGUAAGACAAUUCCCCACUAGGUCUCACCUCAUCAAUUUUCUACCACCUCCUUCUAGGACCAAGCUUGCAACUGACUUUCUGUUCAUGGUCAUUUGGGGACAUGUGGGGAGCCGCCCUCACAUUCGCCGUUACAAGAUGGCGCUGACAUCCUGUGUUCUAAGUGGUAAACAAAUAAUCUGCGCAUGUGCCAAGGGUAGUUCUCCACCCCAUGUGCUCUGCCUUCCCCGUGACGACAACUCAGCCGAUGGGCUGCAGCCAAUCAGGGAGUGACACGUCCUAGGCGGAGGAUAAUUUUCCUUAAAAGGGACGGGGUUUCGCCAUUCUCUCUCUUGCUCUUGCUCUCUUGCUCUUGCUCUCUGGCUCCUGAAGAUGUAAGCAAUAAAGCUUUGCCGCAGAAGA